rnacentral:piRNA from 1 species
UGCUUGUCAAUAACAGGAUGUAUACAGAAGC